rnacentral:rRNA from 1 species
UACGUAGGGGGCUAGCGUUGUCCGGAAUCAUUGGGCGUAAAGCGCGUGUAGGCGGUCCGGUAAGUCCGCUGUGAAAGUCGGGGGCUCAACCCUCGGAUGCCGGUGGAUACUGUCGGGCUUGAGUACGGAAGAGGCGAGUGGAAUUCCUGGUGUAGCGGUGAAAUGCGCAGAUAUCAGGAGGUACACCAAUUGCGAAGGCAGCUCGCUGGGACGUCACUGACGCUGAGACGCGGAAGCGUGGGGAGCAAACAGG